rnacentral:misc_RNA from 1 species
GAUGAAGAACGUAGCAAAAUGCGAUAAGUAAUGUGAAUUGCAGAAUUCAGUGAAUCAUCGAAUCUUUGAACGCACAUUGCGCCCGCCAGUAUUCUGGCGGGCAUGCCUGUUCGAGCGUCAUUUCAACCCUCAAGCCCCCGGGCUUGGUGUUGGGGAUCGGCCGCCCUCUCCGGCGCGCCGGCCCCGAAAUCUAGUGGCGGUCUCGCUGUAGCCUCCUCUGCGUAGUAGCACACCUCGCACCGGAACGCAGCCUGGCCACGCCGUUAAACCCCCCACUUCUGAAGGUUGACCUCGGAUCAGGUAGGAAUACCCGCUGAACUUAAGCAUAUCAAUAAGCGGAGGA